rnacentral:rRNA from 1 species
UUAGUACGGCGAGUGAAGCGGUAAAAGCUCAAAUUUGAAAUCUGGUACUUUCAGUGCCCGAGUUGUAAUUUGUAGAAUUUGUCUUUGAUUAGGUCCUUGUCUAUGUUCCUUGGAACAGGACGUCAUAGAGGGUGAGAAUCCCGUUUGGCGAGGAUACCUUUUCUCUGUAAGACUUUUUCGAAGAGUCGAGUUGUUUGGGAAUGCAGCUCAAAGUGGGUGGUAAAUUCCAUCUAAAGCUAAAUAUUGGCGAGAGACCGAUAGCGAACAAGUACAGUGAUGGAAAGAUGAAAAGAACUUUGAAAAGAGAGUGAAAAAGUACGUGAAAUUGUUGAAAGGGAAGGGCAUUUGAUCAGACAUGGUGUUUUUUGCAUGCACUCGCCUCUCGUGGGCUUGGGCCUCUCAAAAAUUUCACUGGGCCAACAUCAAUUCUGGCAGCAGGAUAAAUCAUUAAGAAUGUAGCUACUUCGGUAGUGUUAUAGCUUUUUGGAAUACUGUUAGCCGGGAUUGAGGACUGCGCUUCGGCAAGGAUGUUGGCAUAAUGGUUAAAUGCCGCCCGUCUUGAAACACGGACCCA